AAUAGAUACCCCGGUAGUCCACGCCGUAAACGUUGGGCGCUAGAUGUGGGGACCUUUCCACGGUUUCCGUGUCGUAGCUAACGCAUUAAGCGCCCCGCCUGAGGAGUACGGCCGCAAGGCUAAAACUCAAAGGAAUUGACGGGGGCCCGCACAAGCGGCGGAGCAUGCGGAUUAAUUCGAUGCAACGCGAAGAACCUUACCAAGGCUUGACAUACACGAGAACGGGCCAGAAAUGGUCAACUCUUUGGACACUCGUGAACAGGUGGUGCAUGGUUGUCGUCAGCUCGUGUCGUGAGAUGUUGGGUUAAGUCCCGCAACGAGCGCAACCCUCGUCGCAUGUUGCCAGCACGUUAUGGUGGGGACUCAUGUGAGACUGCCGGGGUCAACUCGGAGGAAGGUGGGGAUGACGUCAAAUCAUCAUGCCCCUUAUGUCUUGGGCUUCACGCAUGCUACAAUGGCCGGUACAAAGGGCUGCGAUGUCGUAAGGCGGAGCGAAUCCCAAAAAAGCCGGUCUCAGUUCGGAUUGAGGU
rnacentral:rRNA from 1 species